UCAGAGCAGAGUAGGCUCUCGGAGAGGAGGUUUAGUGAGAUUGAAUUUAUAAUCGAACCGCUUCAGACACUGAUAAAAGAGCUGAUGCUGCGAUGUAUAUUAUAAGAAAAUGAAAGUGUUUUUUGACCUUGGAUGCAUGUAAACCUGUUGUAGGAGACUCCAAAUCAGGAACCUUAAAAUAGCGCAAUAGCGGCACUUUAAAGGAAUAUUCUGGGUAAAAUACAACUAAAACUAUCGUUCCUAUUACAGGAAAUACGGUCAACAUCAGACGAAUCAACAUUAUUUUGCCCCAAAUAUUCAUUAUUUAAUGAAAACAUUUAACAGUUUAAAUGUAUGCACUUUGAUUCACUUUAUCAUAUUUGAAUAAUUCACAAAUUUGAACACUAUACAGUGUUUUGAUUUGGUCGUGUAGACAUUUCUACCGAGCGAUCACAGAUAACCAGAGGCCUAGAGCCAGAAGCAGUGAAGCGUCCCGGUGGACUGGUGAUGUGGCAGGAGUGUGUGUGUGUGUGUGUGUGUGUGUGUCGCUGCUUCCUCCGUCACUGCUGGAAGGACAAACACAAGAGGGUUACAGGUCCACACAUAUCCCCUUCCCUUCCAGUCUGGAUCAUGCGAUUAUGAGAUAUGAGAUCACUCGCCAUCCACAUCUAUGAAUAAACUGUCGAAUGUUGAAAUGAAUCAUGUGUGCGUAUGCACAAUCCCAAAUUGCAUAUGUAUACAUAAA